AUUGAACGCUAGCGGCAUGCCUUGCACAUGCAAGUCGAACGGCAGCGGGGGAGCUUGCUCCCGCCGGCGAGUGGCGAACGGGUGAGUAAUACAUCGGAACGUACCCAGUAGCGGGGGAUAGCCCGGCGAAAGCCGGAUUAAUACCGCAUACGCCCUACGGGGGAAAGGGGGGGAUCGCAAGACCUCUCACGAUUGGAGCGGCCGAUGGCUGAUUAGCUAGUUGGUGGGGGAAAGGCCUACCAAGGCGACGAUCAGUAGCUGGUCUGAGAGGACGACCAGCCACACUGGGACUGAGACACGGCCCAGACUCCUACGGGAGGCAGCAGUGGGGAAUUUUGGACAAUGGGCGAAAGCCUGAUCCAGCAAUGCCGCGUGUGCGAAGAAGGCCUUCGAGUUGUAAAGCACUUUUGUCAGGGAAGAAAUCGUUUGGGUUAAUACCCCGAGCAGUUGACGGUACCUGAAGAAUAAGCACCGGCUAACUACGUGCCAGCAGCCGCGGUAA
rnacentral:rRNA from 1 species